rnacentral:lncRNA from 1 species
GCACAGUACAUCAACCCAUUGAAAAUAUCAGCACAGCAGCUUCAGAAACAGAAAUACUCUCCCUCACAGAGAGGGAGACAGUGGCUAAAGGUGAUUACAGAGGCAGCAGCAACCUCCCACCUUAACCUGAGCACUGCAGUCAGAGCUGUGCCACUGGUGAGCAAGAAUUCCCAGCAUCCCCAGAGAGUGGAGCAGAAUUCCACAGCUCCUAUUUUACAAGUCUGGGUUUGGGAUUCAGCCCGGCCAGGAGACGUCUUCCCAUCCAUUAGGCUGCAUGACAGCAGAGACAGGCCUACCUAAAGGACACCACUCCUGUAUUUACAGGAUCAGACAUGACUUGUCUGA